AAAAAAGUAAGAAAGGGCGUAUGGCGGAUGCCUAGGCUCACAGAGGCGAUGAAGGACGUGAUAAGCUGCGAUAAGCUUCGGGUAGGUGCAAAUAACCUUUGAUCCGAGGAUUUCCGAAUGGGACAACCCAUACAUUUGAAGAAUGUAUAUCUCUACCUAAGGUAGAGAGGCAAACCGAGGGAACUGAAACAUCUUAGUACCUCGAGGAAGAGAAAAUAAACUAAUGAUUCCCCCAGUAGUGGCGAGCGACCGGGGAAGAGCCCAAACCGUCGUUGUUUCGGCAUCGGCGGGGUAGUAGGACCGCGAUAUUGUAUGUGUUUUGUGAGUAGAAUGUUCUGGAAAGAACAACCAUAGGAGGUGAAAGUCCUGUAUACGAAGCGAAACAUGGCAUAGCGGUAUCCUGAGUAGCGCGGAGCACGAGGAAUUCUGCGUGAAUCAGCCGGGACCAUCCGGUAAGGCUAAAUACUCCUGUGAGACCGAUAGUGAACGAGUACUGUGAAGGAAAGGUGAAAAGCACUCCGAUGAGGAGAGUGAAAUAGUUCCUGAAACCAUACGCCUACAAGCGGUCGGAGCUCAGCAAUGAGUGACGGCGUGCCUUUUGCAUAAUGAACCUACGAGUUACCGUCUCUGGCAAGGUUUAGUAUCUCAGAUACGUAUCCGCAGUGAAAGCGAGCCUGAAAUGGGCGUAUAGUCAGAGGGGGUAGACGCGAAACCAAGUGAUCUACACUUGGCCAGGUUGAAGUUCCGGUAACACGGAAUGGAGGACCGAACGGAUAAGCGUUGAAAAGCUUCCCGAUGAGCCGAGUGUAGGAGUGAAAGGCCAAUCAAACUUGGAGAUAGCUCGUACUCCCCGAAAUGCAUUUAGGUGCAGCGUGUAUCGAUCCGCAUGAGAGGUAGAGCGACCGAUAGGUCAAGAGGGCUUCACCGCCUAUCGAGACCUGACGAACUCCGAAUGCUCAUGCGCCGCAGAUAUGCAGUAAGGGGGCGGGUGCUAAGGUCCGUCCCCGAGAGGAGAAGAAUCCAGACCGCCAACUAAGGCCCCGAAAUUCUGUCUGAGUUAGUCUAACGAAGUCUGGUCCCUAUGACAGCUAGGAUGUUGGCUUGGAAGCAGCCAUUCAUUCAAAGAGUGCGUAACAGCUCACUAGUCGAGGGUCCGGGCAUGGAUAAUAAUCGGGUAUAAGGCAGAUGCCGAAGUUGCGGGAUAGUAAUAAUAAAAGUAUCGGUAGGGGAGCAUUCCAUCGGCGCAGAAUGCAAAGGAUGACCUUUGCUGGAGCUUAUGGAAAAGCAAAUGUAGGUAUAAGUAACGAUAAAAGGGGUUAGAUUCCCCUUCGCCGCAAGACCAAGGUUUCCCGGGCAAUGCCAAUCAGCUGGGUAGUCAGUCUAGUCUCAGCGACGCGAUGCGAUGCAGAACGUAAUAUCCGUACUGCUGCAUGGAGUGAUGUGAGACGGAGCAGUGACACUACCGCGGAGAUACGGAAUUCUCCGUUGAAGGGUGUAGGCGCAGAUUGAGGCAGGCAAAUCCACCUUGAGAGCCGAACUGAUAGUAUGGAGUCUUCUUCGGAAGAAUCCAAUAGCGUAGGUAAUCAUACUUCCUAGAAAAUCCGCUAAACUUAAUCCAUGCGGCACCUGUACCGCAAACGGACACACGUGGUCGGGUAGAACAUACUAAGGCGUUGAGAGAUUCUUGGUUAAGGAACUAGGCAAAUUGACCCUGUAACUUCGGGAUAAAGGGUCCUCACAGCAAUGUGAGGCGCAGAGAAUAGGUCCAGGCAACUGUUUAACAAAAACACAGGGCUGUGCAAACUCGAAAGAUGACGUAUACAGCCUGACACCUGCCCGGUGCCGGAAGGUUAAGAGGAGAAGUCAGUAGCAAUAUGAAGCUUUGAAUUGAAGCCCCGGUAAACGGCGGCCGUAACUAUAACGGUCCUAAGGUAGCGAAAUUCCUUGUCGGGUAAGUUCCGACCUGCACGAAUGGUGUAAUGAUCCGGACGCUGUCUCAACCAAGAGCUCAGUGAAAUUGUAGUAUCGGUGAAGAUGCCGAUUACCCGCGAUGGGACGAAAAGACCCCGUGAACCUUUACUACAGCUUAGCAUUGACUUUGGUCAUCCGAUGUGUAGGAUAGGCCGGAGGCUUUGAAGCAGGCACGCCAGUGUUUGUGGAGCCAUCCUUGAAAUACGGCCCUUUGGCUGUCUGAAGUCUAACGCGCUACGCGCGGACAUUGCUUGGUGGGUAGUUUGACUGGGGUGGUCGCCUCCAAAAGCGUAACGGAGGCUUCCAAAGGUGCCCUCGGACCGAUUGGUAACCGGUCUCAUAGAGUGUAAUGGCAUAAGGGCGCUUGACUGGGAGGGAGACAUCCCGAGCAGGCAGGAAACUGGGGCAUAGUGAUCCGGCGGAUGCGUAUGGAAACUCCGUCGCUCAAAGGAUAAAAGGUACUCCGGGGAUAACAGGCUGAUCCCCCCCCAAGAGCUCAUAUCGACGGGGUGGUUUGGCACCUCGAUGUCGGCUCGUCACAUCCUGGGGCUGGAGAAGGUCCCAAGGGUUGGGCUGUUCGCCCAUUAAAGUGGCACGCGAGCUGGGUUCAGAACGUCGUGAGACAGUUCGGUCUCUAUCUAUCGUGGGCGCGGGAGUUUUGAGUGGACACGUCACUAGUACGAGAGGACCGUGACGUACAGACCUCCGGUUUACCAGUUGUUCCGCCAGGUGCACUGCUGGGUAUCUGAGUCUGGCCGGGAUAAGCGCUGAAAGCAUCUAAGUGCGAAGCCCUCCGCAAGAUUAGAACUCCAUUGAGGGCCGUCGAAGACGACGACGUUGAUAGGAUGCAGGUGUAAAGACGGUGACGUCAAAGCCGAGCAUUACUAAUUGCCCGAAACUUUUUUCG
rfam:Prevotella bryantii B14 contig_025, whole genome shotgun sequence.